GCUCUCCCUCUCGCGUCCUCCGCCUAGCACCGACCUCAGCUAGGAACGGGGACGGGUCGCUGUUCGGGGAAGGGGCUGGGUGGAGUCUCGCGAGGGGACGAGAGGCAGGACUUUCCCUUUUGGUCACCUCUAAAUGACUCACUGCCACAUAAUAAUGAGACAAAAAGACCCUCAUACCAGUAAAACGGUUAUUCCACGGCUGAUGGACUUAGACGGUUCUUCAUUUCUUCCUGUGCUUUCAGGCCGCUGUGUAUUUGCAGAGCCUGCACCAGCAGCCUAGAGCGUUCUUAGGAACUUGGUGAUAUGUUGACGGGUCGUGUAAAGAACUUGGACUCUGGGGCCAUACUGACCAGAAUGCACCUGAGGGCGUUUUUAGAGGCAGUACCCUGGAGAGAAUUCAGGCCCUGGAGUCCAGCGGACCUAGACUGGAAUCUUGGCUGAGUCACUCCCUGGCUGUCCACUCAACCUCUCUGAGCCUCAGUUUUCUGAUCUGCAUUUGUCUUGUAUUUCAUGGCAUUAUUGGAAUUAAAAUUAACAUACAAUUCUUGACAGAUUGGAAGAGGAUGUGAAGGGAGAUCUUGACAUUAUCAGGUCCGUAUGAUAUGGCGCCUGGCAUAGAGCAAAUGUUUAAUAAAUGGUAGCUGUUAUUACCAGCUGAGAAACAAUAGGCAAUAUACUUAGCCUCUCUGAGCCUUAGUUUUAGAACCUGAAAUGAAAUUCAGAGCGCCCAGCACAUAGGUUUUCUGUAACUAUAGGUUCAGUCGUUGUCCAGAAACAUUUCUAGAGUCCGUCCGGAGUUGGAUUGAUGCCAGCUCUUAAAAACUAUGAAGGCAGGAUCAGUGGCCACAUUUAAACGGUUUCCCUGGGUGAGGAAACACACUCUCCACUCCCUAAUGUUAACACGUAGCGAGAGCCAGUAUUGAUAGGAGACCAUUAUGGUGUAGCCCAAACUCUAACGCCAAGGGGUUCAGUGUUUUCUGCUUCUAAUACUGGUCACAGAAAACUUGUGAGUCCGGUAAGCAAAAUCCUACAAAGGGAAAAGACUGCAAGUUAGAAUAAGACACCUCUUAAAAAUCUCUCUAGCUUUACCCUGAGAGAAAGGAGGAACUACUGU
rnacentral:lncRNA from 1 species